UUCUCAAAUAUAAUGACAAUAACUCUCAAAAGCAACAGCAAACGCCAUACCAGAAACAACAAAACUUCAGCGACAACAAUUUCAGCCAACAUACGAUAACAUCAGCAGCCAGCAAUUUCAACAAUAGCGAAACCAUUAACAACAUCGAUAACAACAAUUUCAACAGCCAACAACAACCAAAUCGAACCCGAUUCCAAUGACCCGAACAACAAUGUUGACACGACCCGGUGCAAACACCAAAAAUUUAAACAAGCCAACCUCUCUCUCCAUCUUAUCUCUGUAUUUUGAAGACCUAGAGCCAUUCUUUUUUACUUUCUUGCUCAAGAUUGAGUGUUACAAAACCUAAAACCCAAUUCAAGUCAGAAGAGGUCUAUUCAAAUUCGAAUUUUAGGGGAUAUGUUUCUCCAUUUUAAAGAUGAAAAAAAUCAGUAUCUUCCCCUAUAAAUAAAGAUUGGGGGAAGAAAAAAAGGGGAUUCUUGGAGGAUUUUGGAGAAAAACUUAGGGUUCUGAAGGUGCUUGCCUUUAACCUCAAAAAAUCAAAAUUCUCGAAGAACACUCGAAUAAUUGAAAUUCAAGGUCCUCAAGUUGCGGUGGCGGAAGUUCGCCGUCAAGGUUCGAAGUGUACCGUCCGCUGCCCAAAAACCAGAAGAACAAAUUACGUAAAAGAAAGAAAGAAGAUAUAAAUCAAGUAAAGAAGAUACAUCCGCUACAAAUUCAUCAAAGACUACACAAGGACAAGAAGUAUAAAAUAAUGAAAUUACUAUCAAGGUUUUUGAAUUUCUCAUCAAGGUUCCAUGAUAAUAUUCAUGUCAAAAUCUCAUCAAGAUUGCAUGAUAAAUUAUCAUGUCAAUUUCUCAUCAAGAUCUCAUGAUAUAUUAAUAUUAUCUUGUAAAGUUUCAUUAAGGCCUUCAUAGAAAUUUUUCUAUAAAUAGGCACAUGUAGGCACAUGUUGUUGAAGGAAGACACCACACAUCAUGAGAAAGAUUCAUUAGUCUUGUUUUUUUUCUUUUCUUUUUCUUUAGUAGGAUAAUAUUUUCUUAGUUGUCUUUAUCUUUCCUCCAUAAUGGAGUAAUUUCUUUUGGUUGGGAUAGUUGAUGAAUCUCAAUAUAUAUAUAUUUAUAAUACUAUCUUAAUUUAGUGCA